CAAUUGCACUGUAAUGCUAAUAUUGUGUUAUGAUCAAGCUAGCAGGGGACGACAACACAGGUAGCCACUUCAUAAAGCUAAUACUUGUCACUAUUACGAUCGCGAUAUACAUCACUCAGAGAAUACAUAUACUAUCAACGAAGUUUGGUGUCGCUAGUGUUUUUGUUGAACUCGGAUCCCACCCUGUUAUGUUUCUCUUGCUGUUUCUUUUGUCAACAUAUGCUGCAUCCGCGCGGUGCAUGCUGGGACAUCCGAGGGCGAAGACAUUCCGCCAGACUGCUCAUGACGUCAACAACCACACGCUCGCUUGGAUGUGGAGAUUGUUUUUGUUUUUCUAUCGACAGUUUUUUAAUCACAUUGUUUUUUUCAGAGAGAUGUUUGCAGUAAUACAAGUUAUAAAGAUCGAGUGCAUUUUCCGACUAUGAUAAAUAAGUAAUCAAUACAACUGUGAUGUAUUUGAUUUUAAUAUGGAAAUCAACAACAAAUGUGGGAUGUAUAAAUUUACUCAGGACAGGUCCUCGGGCCUAUCACGUGCAACCAAGCACUUGCGAAAAUGCCCCUAGAAUGUCGCUGAAGACCAUUUGUACCUACAAAGCUUAACAAGGCUCGCUAUGUGUUUCAGUUACGAUUGGCCAUACCGCGAUCGUGCAUACUUCCAAAACAUAUUCGUCAUUAACCAUCCACAUGUUUAUGCCCCGAUGUUCUUACACACCCCAUGAUCGCCCACCCCCACCGGUAGCGUAAUGCAAUGGGGUGGGGGGGGG